rnacentral:piRNA from 1 species
UGGGCCAAGGAGAGGAAUCUCAGCACCUAC